UAUCCUGUCUCAGGAUGAACGCUAGCUACAGGCUUAACACAUGCAAGUCGAGGGGCAGCAUGGUCUUAGCUUGCUAAGGCCGAUGGCGACCGGCGCACGGGUGAGUAACACGUAUCCAACCUGCCGUCUACUCUUGGACAGCCUUCUGAAAGGAAGAUUAAUACAAGAUGGCAUCAUGAGUCCGCAUGUUCACAUGAUUAAAGGUAUUCCGGUAGACGAUGGGUG
rnacentral:rRNA from 1 species